GACGAACGCUGGCGGCGUGCUUAACACAUGCAAGUCGAACGGAAAGGCCCUGCUUUUUUGGGGUGCUCGAGGGGCGAACGGGUAAGUAACCCGUGAGUAACCUGCCCUUGACUGUGGGGUAACUUCAGGAAACUUGGGCUAAUACCGGAUAGGAGCUCCUGCUGCAGGGUGGGGGUGGGUAAGUUUCGGCUGUUGGGGAGGGACUCGCCGCUUAUUAGGUUGUUGGUUGGGUAGUGGCUUACCAAGGCUUUGACGGGUAGCCGGGCUGGGCGGGGGACCGGACCAACUAGGCCUGGGAUACGACCCAGACUCCUACGGGAGGCAGGAGUGGGGAAUAGUGCAUAGUGGGAGGAGGCAUGAUGUAGCAACGCAGCGUGGGGGAUGAGAGGAUGGGGGUUGUGUUCUAAUUCCGCCUGUGCCGAGGCGAGAGUGACGGUACCGGGUGAAGAAGCACCGGCUAACUCCGUG
rnacentral:rRNA from 1 species